rnacentral:ncRNA from 1 species
AUGCAAGUCGAACCUUGUUUUCAAGGAGCUAGGUAGAAGGAAAAGAGGCUCAACACUUUGUCUCGCCUUUUAUGGUGGGAAGAGUUGAGAACAAAGUGGCGAACGGGUGCUUAAUGCGUGGGAAUCUACCGAAUAGUUUGGGCCAAAUCCUGAAGAAAGCCAAAAAGCGAUGUUUGAUGAGCCUGCGUAGUAUUAGGUCAUUGGUUAGGUAAAGGCUGACUAAGCCAAUGAUGCUUAGCUGGUCUUUUCAGAUGAUUAGCCACUUGGGAUUGUUAAAGGAGAGCUAUUUCGAUCGGCUUCA